AAUCAACGCUGGCGGCGUGCCUAACACAUGCAAGUCGAACGAGAAAGUGGAGCAAUCCAUGAGUACAGUGGCGACCGGGUGAGUAACACGUGAUCAACCUACCCUCGAGUGGGGAACAACCUAGGGAAACCUGGGCUAAUACCGCAUAACAUCUGCGGGUCGGAAGACCUGUUGAUCAAAGGAGCAAUUCGCUUGAGGAGGGGGUCGCGGCUGAUUAGCUAGUUGGCGGGGUAAUGGCCCACCAAGGCGAAGAUCGGUAUCCGGCCUGAG
rnacentral:rRNA from 1 species